CCCAAGAUGCCGAAAGGAAAGAAAGCCAAGGGAAAGAAGGUGGCUCCGGCCCCUGCUGUCGUGAAAAAGCAGGAGGCCAAGAAAGUGGUGAAUCCCCUGUUUGAGAAAAGACCUAAGAAUUUUGGCAUUGGACAGGACAUCCAGCCCAAAAGAGACCUCACCCGCUUUGUGAAAUGGCCUCGCUAUAUCAGGUUGCAGCGGCAGAGAGCCAUCCUCUAUAAGCGGCUGAAAGUGCCUCCUGCUAUUAACCAGUUCACCCAGGCCCUGGACCGCCAAACAGCUACUCAGCUGCUUAAGCUGGCCCACAAGUACAGACCAGAGACAAAACAAGAGAAGAAGCAGAGGCUGUUGGCCCGGGCCGAGAAGAAAGCUGCUGGCAAAGGGGAUGUCCCCACUAAAAGACCACCUGUCCUUCGAGCAGGAGUUAACACCGUCACCACCUUGGUGGAGAACAAGAAGGCUCAGCUGGUGGUGAUUGCACAUGACGUAGAUCCCAUCGAGACCAAAGACAUACCGAAAACUCUUUAA